GAUGAACGCUGGCGGCGUGCCUAAUACAUGCAAGUCGAGCGAAUGGAUUAAGAGCUUGCUCUUAUGAAGUUAGCGGCGGACGGGUGAGUAACACGUGGGUAACCUGCCCAUAAGACUGGGAUAACUCCGGGAAACCGGGGCUAAUACCGGGUAACAUUUUGAACCGCAUGGUUCGAAAUUGAAAGGCGGCUUCGGCUGUCAAUUAUGGAUGGACCCGCGUCGCAUUAGCUAGUUGUUGAGGUAACGGCUCACCAAGGCAACGAUGCGUAGCCGCCCGGAGAGGGUACUCGGCCACCCUGGGACUGAGACACGGCCCAGACUCCUACAGGAAGCAGCAGUAGGGAAUCUUCCGCAAUGGACGAACGUCUGACGGAGCAACGCCGCGUGAGUGAUGAAGGCUUUCGGGUCGUAAAACUCUGUUGUUAGGGAAGAACAAGUGCUAGUUGAAUAAGCUGGCACCUUGACGGUACCUAACCAGAAAGCCACGGCUAACUACGUGCCAGCCGCCGCAGUAA
rnacentral:rRNA from 1 species